rnacentral:lncRNA from 1 species
ACUCUCUAAAAUAAAAAAAUUCAGGGCACAAGAAAGGAGAACUGAAAAUCCCUACAAUUUUUUUCUAAAGAAGGGAAAUGUUAAGAGCAUCAUCUCAUCAUCUUCAACCCAUUUUGUUCACAGCUCCGGCGCCUCUCUUUGCUCUUCUUCCCACUCUCACCAAUCGUACAAACGUUUCCUUUGCACUACUGCAAAAGUCAUCAAUUUUUCAUCCAAAAAAUUUGGACAUCAAUUAUCAAAAAAUGCCCAACAAGUUUUGAAAUAAGAAUUGGGAAGAGAUGGGCUAAGAAUCGUCAUAACAGCUUCUCCAAUUUCUCUCACUAUUUACUCGACUCUCUAAAAUAAAAAAAUUCAGGGCACAAGAAAGGAGAACUGAAAAUCCCUACAAUUUUUUUUCUAAAGGAGGGAAAUGUUAAGAGCAUCAUCUCAUCAUCUUCAACCCAUUUUGUUCACAGCUCCGGCGCCUCUCUUUGCUCUUCUCCCCACUCUCACCAAUCGUACAAACGUUUCCUUUGCACUACUGCAAAAGUCAUCAAUUUUUCAUCCAAACUUCGUACUUACACAACCUAUUUAUAAUCAUAGUUAUUGUAAUCAGGGCUCAAAAUU